rnacentral:rRNA from 1 species
CGGGUGAGUAAUACAUCGGAACGUGUCCGCUCGUGGGGGACAACCAGCCGAAAGGUUGGCUAAUACCGCAUGAGUUCUACGGAAGAAAGAGGGGGACCCGCAAGGGCCUCUCGCGAGCGGAGCGGCCGAUGACUGAUUAGCCUGUUGGUGAGGUAACGGCUCACCAAAGCAACGAUCAGUAGCUGGUCUGAGAGGACGACCAGCCACACUGGGACUGAGACACGGCCCAGACUCCUACGGAAGGCAGCAG